GUGGGGAAUCUUAGACAAUGGGGGAAACCCUGAUCUAGCCAUGCCGCGUGAGCGAUGAAGGCCUUAGGGUUGUAAAGCUCUUUCAGAUGGGAAGAUAAUGACGAUACCAUCAGAAGAAGCCCCGGCUAACUCCGUGCCAGCAGCCGCGGUAAUACGGAGGGGGCUAGCGUUGUUCGGAAUUACUGGGCGUAAAGCGCACGUAGGCGGACCAGAAAGUCAGAGGUGAAAUCCCAGGGCUCAACCUUGGAACUGCCUUUGAAACUCCUGGUCUUGAGGUCGAGAGAGGUGAGUGGAAUUCCGAGUGUAGAGGUGAAAUUCGUAGAUAUUCGGAGGAACACCAGUGGCGAAGGCGGCUCACUGGCUCGAUACUGACGCUGAGGUGCGAAAGCGUGGGGAGCAAACAGGAUUAGAUACCCGUGUAGUCC
rnacentral:rRNA from 1 species